rnacentral:rRNA from 1 species
AGAUUGAACGCUGGCGGCAUGCCUUACACAUGCAAGUCGAACGGUAACGCGGGGCAACCUGGCGACGAGUGGCGAACGGGUGAGUAAUGCAUCGGAACGUGCCCAGUAGCGGGGGAUAGCCCGGCGAAAGCCGGAUUAAUACCGCAUACGACCUACGGGUGAAAGCGGGGGACUCGCAAGAGCCUCGCGCUAUUGGAGCGGCCGAUGUCAGAUUAGCUAGUUGGUGGGGUAAAAAGCCUAACCAAGGCGACGAUCUGUAGCUGGUCUGAGAGGACGACCAGCCACACUGGGACUGAGACACGGCCCAGACUCCUACGGGAGGCAGCAGUGGGAAUUUGGACAAUGGGCGCAGGCCUGAGUCAGCCAUGCGCGUGCGGAAGAAGGCCUGGUGUAACCGCUUUGUCUAGGAAGAACGACUCUGGCUAAGUACCUGGGUAAGUAGACGGUAACCUAGAAGAAUAAGACACCG